rnacentral:rRNA from 1 species
UACGUAGGCAGCAAGCGUUGUUCGGAAUUACUGGGCGUAAAGAGUGUGUAGGCGGUUUUCUAAGUUUGGUGUGAAAUCUCCCGGCUUAACUGGGAGGGUGCGCCGAAAACUGGAAGGCUUGAGUGUCGGAGAGGAUAGCGGAAUUCCCGGUGUAGCGGUGAAAUGCGUAGAUAUGUGGAGGAACACCGAUGGCGAAGGCAGCCCCCUGGGCCGACACUGACGCUCAGGCACGAAAGCGUGGGGAGCAAACAGG